GCAUAUCAAUAAGCGGAGGAAAAGAAACCAACAGGGAUUGCCCCAGUAACGGCGAGUGAAGCGGCAAGAGCUCAAAUUUGAAAGCUGGCUCCUUCGGGGUCCGCAUUGUAAUUUGCAGAGGAUGCUUCGGGAGCGGUCCCCAUCUAAGUGCCCUGGAACGGGACGUCAUAGAGGGUGAGAAUCCCGUAUGGGAUGGGGUGUCCGCGCCCGUGUGAAGCUCCUUCGACGAGUCGAGUUGUUUGGGAAUGCAGCUCUAAAUGGGUGGUAAAUUUCAUCUAAAGCUAAAUAUUGGCCGGAGACCGAUAGCGCACAAGUAGAGUGAUCGAAAGAUGAAAAGCACUUUGAAAAGAGAGUUAAAAAGCACGUGAAAUUGUUGAAAGGGAAGCGCUUGCGACCAGACUCGCUCGCGGGGUUCAGCCGGCAUUCGUGCCGGUGUAUUUCCCCGCGGGCGGGCCAGCGUCGGUUUGGGCGGUCGGUCAAAGGCCCUCGGAAGGUAACGCCCCU
rnacentral:rRNA from 1 species